UACGUAGGGUGCAAGCGUUGUCCGGAAUUAUUGGGCGUAAAGAGCUCGUAGGCGGUCUGUCACGUCGGCUGUGAAAACCUGGGGCUCAACCCCGGGCCUGCAGCCGAUACGGGCAGACUAGAAUUCGGUAGGGGAGACUGGAAUUCCUGGUGUAGCGGUGAAAUGCGCAGAUAUCAGGAGGAACACCGGUGGCGAAGGCGGGUCUCUGGGCCGAUAUUGACGCUGAGGAGCGAAAGCGUGGGGGAGCGAACAGG
rnacentral:rRNA from 1 species